CUGUGUGCUGGAGAACAGGGCUUCUGUCUCGUCAACGAUGGGGGCACUGUGAAGCUGGACAGGAGACAUGCCUACUACCAUCAAAUACAGGCUCAGCUCCACCUCGUUGAUGUUGACUACUGCGACUUUGUUGUCUGGACUAAAAAUGACCUCUUUGUAGAGAGAAUUGUGCGUGAUGUGGACCUGUGGGACAACAUCAUUCCCAGAGUUGAGCGUUUCUUCAGACUAUGUGUUCUCCCUGAAGUGUUGGGACAGCAACUUACAAGGGGAAAGUUUCAGUUGCAAGAUGAUCAGGAGGGAGAGAAGGCGUGAUUACCAGCACCUGUGGUCAGUCCUGGUCCCGGAAGUUGUGGUUCUCUCCUUGUUGCAUUAUUAUUACGUGCCGUAGUGGGUGCUGGUGUUUGGGUGUGUGUGGGUGUCUUUUUCUCUCUCCCUCUGAUCUCCCCAGGUGCUCCCAAUCUCCAAUCAGCGCCUCCAUAUAGGACAUGAGGAAGGUUGCAGUCGCUCUCCCCUUAUCUUAAGCUUUGUUUGACAAGUUGGCUGGUGAGCCCUUUUUCGUUGUGUUAAUUAAAAGACCACUUUAUGGCGUCAGAGAUCA